rnacentral:miRNA from 1 species
GAAUCCCAUUGGGACUUCUAAAAUUCUGGGCAAUGUUAUGUAUAUACAUACAUAUAUAUAUAUAUAUAUAUAUAUAUAUAUAUGUAUGUAUAUACAUAACAUUGCCCAGAAUUUUAGAAGUCCCAAUGGGAUUC